ensembl:lncRNA
CCUGUUCUUAAUGCUGCACGGUCCUCAGGAGAAGCUACUUACCGCUCAUUUAGUCAGAGCCCACCUGAGCUGGGAGAAGGGCUGUACCCAGCUCCAGCCCCCUCGUCACACCGUCCCACCUGGGCAGGGGGCAGGACAAGGGUGAGACACGCGUGUGAAUUUCAUGGUGGAGGCACAGCCUAAUCAGAAGACUGCGUCCAAGGCGAGCCCCACACUUGAGAGUUUUACCUCCAGUCCUCACAUACAGGAAAAAAGAAAAAAGAAAAAAAGAAAGGAAAAGAAAGGAAAAAUUAUUUCAGGAGCAGGAAACUUAUACAAGUCAGAAACUCAGACCUCCAUGAAGAAAAGUAGAGCGUCAGAGGAGGAAUAAGUGAAGAACUGUGUUCCAGGAGGCGAGAGGCCAGCUCCACCCACGACUCAGAUACCUGCACAAAGACUUCUCCCAAAAACAGCACUGAGUUCUGUGCAUCCUCCCACUGCAUUGCUCAGAAUAAUAAAAGGAUGGAGUAGAGUUUGGUGUCACUGUCUUGAUUAAUAUUAAGACUCUAGUAGCA